rnacentral:rRNA from 1 species
AUUGAACGCUGGCGGCAUGCCUUACACAUGCAAGUCGAACGGCAGCGGACCUUCGGGUGCCGGCGAGUGGCGAACGGGUGAGUAAUAUAUCGGAACGUACCUUUCAGUGGGGGAUAACGUAGCGAAAGUUACGCUAAUACCGCAUAUUCUGUGAGCAGGAAAGCAGGGGAUCGCAAGACCUUGCGCUGAUUGAGCGGCCGAUAUCAGAUUAGCUAGUUGGUGAGGUAAAGGCUCACCAAGGCGACGAUCUGUAGCGGGUCUGAGAGGAUGAUCCGCCACACUGGAACUGAGACACGGUCCAGACUCCUACGGGAGGCAGCAGUGGGGAAUUUUGGUACAAUGGCGGCAAGACCUGAUCACGCCAUGCCGCCGUGAGUGAAGAAGGACCGUCGUGUAGUAGUAC